GCAGAUGUGGCGGAAUGGCAGACGCAUCAUCUUGAGGGGGUGACGAGGAAUCCUCGUGCGGGUUCAAGUCCCGCCAUCUGCACCA
rnacentral:tRNA from 2 species